UCUGGUUGAUCCUGCCAGUAGUCAUAUGCUUAUCUCAAAGAUUAAGCCAUGCAUGUCUUAGUAAACAGACUCGUACUCUGAAACCGCGGAUGGCUCAUUAUAACAGCUAUGAUUUGAGAGAUUCUAUCAUUUUGCCACAAGAUAACUGUGGUAAUUCUAGAGCUAAUAUUUAUAAGAAUGCCGUGACUCACGAAGCGGCGGAUUUAUUAGAUCAAAAUCAACCUGCUGCAAGGCGGUAUUUUGAUGACUCUGGAUAAUUUUACUGAUCGUACGACCUUUGUGUUGACGACAUAUCUCUUGAAAUGGCUGACCUAUCAACUUUCGAUGGUAAGAUCAAAGCUUACCAUGGUUGUAACGGGUAACGGGGAAUCAGUGUUCGAUUCCGGAGAGGGAGCCUGAGAAACGGCUACCACAUCCACGGAAGGCAGCAGGCGCGUAAAUUACCCAAUACCGGUUCGGUGAGGUAGUGACAAAAAAUAACAAUAUGGGCCCUAGUGGUUUCAUAAUUGCAAUGAGAACAUUUUAAAUACUUUAUCAAGUAUCAAUUGGAGGGCAAGUCUGGUGCCAGCAGCCGCGGUAAUUCCAGCUCCAAUAGCGUAUAUUAAAGUUGUUGCAGUUAAAAAGCUCGUAGUUGAAAUUGAGGAAAAAGAUGGUUUGAAAUCUUCGAUUGAAAGCUAUCUUGUCCUUCGACGUCGUGUAUAUCUUUGAUGCUCUUUAAUGGGUGUUGAGGAUGACCGACAAGUUUACUUUGAAAAAAUUAGAGUGCUUAAAGCAGGCUUAUGCUUGCAUAUUGUUGCAUGGAAUAAUAAAAUAAGACUUCGGUUUUAUUUUGUUGGUUUUCGAAACUGAAGUAAUGAUUAAAAGAGACUGCCGGGGGCAUAUGUAUGCUGGUGCUAGAGGUGAAAUUCUUAGAUCAUCAGCAGACAGUCUACUGCGAAAGCAUUUGCCAAGAAUGUUUUCAUUAAUCAAGAACGAAAGUCAGAGGAUCGAAGACGAUCAGAUACCGUCCUAGUUCUGACCAUAAACUAUGCCAACUGACAGUUCGCGAAGGUAAUUCAAAUCUCCUUGCGAGAAGUCACCGGGAAACCUAAGUCUAUGGGUUCCGGGGGAAGUAUGGUUGCAAAG
rnacentral:rRNA from 1 species